rnacentral:rRNA from 1 species
GAGUUUGAUUCCCUGCUCAGGACGAACGCUGGCGGCGUGCCUAAUACAUGCAAGUCGAGCGGACAGAAGGGAGCUUGCUCCCGGAUGUUAGCGGCGGACGGGUGAGUAACACGUGGGUAACCUGCCUGUAAGACUGGGAUAACUCCGGGAAACCGGAGCUAAUACCGGAUAGUUCCUUGAACCGCAUGGUUCAAGGAUGAAAGACGGUUUCGGCUGUCACUUACAGAUGGACCCGCGGCGCAUUAGCUAGUUGGUGAGGUAACGGCUCACCAAGGCGACGAUGCGUAGCCGACCUGAGAGGGUGAUCGGCCACACUGGGACUGAGACACGGCCCAGACUCCUACGGGAGGCAGCAGUAGGGAAUCUUCCGCAAUGGACGAAAGUCUGACGGAGCAACGCCGCGUGAGUGAUGAAGGUUUUCGGAUCGUAAAGCUCUGUUGUUAGGGAAGAACAAGUGCAAGAGUAACUGCUUGCACCUUGACGGUACCUAACCAGAAAGCCACGGCUAACUACGUGCCAGCAGCCGCGGUAAUAC